UACGUAGGGUACAAGCGUUGUCCGGAAUUAUUGGGCGUAAAGAGCUCGUAGGCGGUUUGUUGCGUCGGCUGUGAAAUCCCGAGGCUCAACCUCGGGUCUGCAGUCGAUACGAGCAAACUAGAGUGUUGCAGGGGAGACUGGAAUUCCUGGUGUAGCGGUGAAAUGCGCAGAUAUCAGGAGGAACACCGGUGGCGAAGGCGGGUCUCUGGGCAACAACUGACGCUGAGGAGCGAAAGCGUGGGGAGCGAACAGG
rnacentral:rRNA from 1 species